CUCCAAUGCAAGUCUUAGGGAGGAAGAGAAUACAAACACAUUGACUACAUUGACUGAAAAGAGAAACAUGACGGAGAUGAGAAAACUUCUGUCUUUCUUCUUAACUUCACUUAAAACAGUCUUCCAUUACGGAUUUAUUCCUACUGUUAUAUAUUUAGGUUUUAGGAAAGGUGCAGAUGAGGGAAUGCCUGAAAUAACAUUUUCAAGUUUGUUGUGGAGUUAGAAAAUGGAAGUAAAGACUCACCACAACUUUACCCAGGAUUGAGAUAAAAUCAAGAGACGAAAAAGCACUUGACUGUUCCUUAAUUCUUUGAGAUGUAUAUUUGCACCUAGAUCAGAAAUGGAUUAAAGUGUUUCUGAAAAAAAAA